GAUGAACGCUAGCGGCAGGCUUAAUACAUGCAAGUCGAGGGGCAGCAUGAAUGUAGCAAUACAUUUGAUGGCGACCGGCAAACGGGUGCGGAACACGUACACAACCUUCCUAUAAGUGGGGAAUAGCCCAGAGAAAUUUGGAUUAAUACCCCGUAACAUAAUGAUGUGGCAUCACAUUAUUAUUAUAGCUUCGGCGCUUAUUGAUGGGUGUGCGGCUGAUUAGAUAGUUGGCGGGGUAACGGCCCACCAAGUCUACGAUCAGUAGCUGAUGUGAGAGCAUGAGCAGGCACACGGGCACUGAGACACGGGCCCGACUCCUACGGGAGGCAGCAGUAAGGAAUAUUGGUAAAUGGACGCAAGUCUGAACCAGCCAUGCCGCGUGAAGGAUUAAGGUCCUCUGGAUUGUAAACUUCUUUUAUCUGGGACGAAAAAAGGCUAUUCUUAGUCACUUGACGGUACCAGAUGAAUAAGCACCGGCUAACUCCGUGCCAGCCGCCGCCGUAAAAC
rnacentral:rRNA from 1 species